rnacentral:lncRNA from 1 species
UUUCCCCUUCUUUCCCCUCUUCUCUCUCCUUCUCUCCCCCUCUCCCCUCUUCCUCUCCUCUCCUCUUCCGCUUUCUCUUCCUCUCUCUCUCUCCUCCUUCCUUCUCCCCCUCUUUCUCUCUCUUCUCUCUCCUCUUUUCAUUUGAAACAAUUGGAAGUUUGCCCAUCCAGACAAAGCUGGCUUAGGGAGAAAAAGCUCAGGGAGGAAGCAAUGUGAGGAGACUGGAAAGAGCAAGAAUCUGGACACACUUUGAUCCCCAGCUCUUAAACUGGGAGAGGAAGAUGCCGUUUUCCUGCUCCUGGCGGGGGUCUGGGUGGAAGGGAGUGCCAUUUGCCCUGCUGGCUCUUGGGUGGCCCGGAUAGGAGGCUAGCCGUCCGUGAGCUGUCCUGCCACAUGGCAGCUGGCAGGAGCCUGCGCCCCCGCCGCCGGAACACAGGCCCGCACUGUGAGGGAUUAGGUGGAACAUAUGCACGUAAGAUGCUUAUGGCUUUUUCCAGACAGAAGGCCACUUUCCAGCCUGAGGAGCAGCUUGGAGGAAACAGGGUAAUUAGAUAGAGUCUCACGCUGGGAGGGACAGAGAGCUCAGCUGAACCUGAUGCUUUCAUCUCCGCCCUGCCUCCGCUGCCUUCUCAUCCUUUUUUUCUCUUUUCCCUCUUCUGUUUUCUUCCAUCUACUUCCUGUUCACUUGUGUCCUUCCUGACUUGUCCUCAACUUCUUUUCCUGGUUCCUUUUCCUCUUUUGUUUCUUCUCCUGUUCGCUUUCCUCUCAUCCCUUCUUUUCCUCCGUCCUUUCUUUGACUUUCUUCACCGUACUCUUCAUGCUUCUCCAUGUUUAUUGCAGCUUUUUUUCUUGACUCAUCUGUCAGCUGAAAUUCUCACGGAGACAAAAGCUGUGGCCCUGAAGGCAGAGCGGCUGAGACAGUGGACGUGGGAAUGAAUGGCCACUGAAUCUCUUGACCUAGAAUUGUGCUCCUAGAGAAGGCUUUCCACCUUCCCCCCGGGGCCCAUUCAUUGAGGACGACUUGGGUACUUUGGUGGCAAGCAACAGAAGUGGAUUCUGCUACCUUAAUGAAGAAAAAAAGAAGAUUAGCCCUGAGCUAACAUGUGCUGACAAUCCUCUUCUUUCUACUGAGGAAGACUCAGCCCUGAGCUAACAUCCGUGCCCAUCUUCCUCUACUUUAUAUGUGGGAGGCCUCCACAGCAUGGCUUGGCAAGUGGUGGCUGGGUCUGCACCCAGGAUCCGAACCAGCAAACCCUGGGCCGCUGAAGCAGGACAUGCAAACUUAACCGCUGCACGACCAGGCCAGACCCUUUUCCUACUUUCUUUUAAAUCUUUUUUUUAAAAUUUAAAUUUAUCUGACUUUGUGUCCUAAAUACAUCCCAAUGGGUUCCUGUGUAGUGGUGUGCCCCUCUGCCUUACGUCCACAUCCUCAUUUUCCUAUCUUGUAUCACUGCCUCUCCUUUUCUCAUCUCCCUUUCUCUUCUUCUCUCUCCUGCCUCCAUUAUUCCAGGCCCCUCUGGAGCACAAUCAUUUCUCUAGGGAGUAUUGGUGGUGAUCAGAGAAUCACAGAGAAGUAGAGGGACCCACAGGCUUUCACUUCCAUUGUUAGAGCAGAAAUAGAUGCUGAGGGGAAAGGAACUGGGCAUCAGGCUCCCAGGACAACUUAAAGGGCAGUGCCUUUAAGGGGGUGGAGGGGGCUCCGCUCACCGAGCAUCUGGAUCUUGCCUGCUGAGCUCAGUUAGUGCUCUCUGAGCCUCUGUGAGAGCUCGCAGAUGCCCACAGGUGAUAUCAUUAGUCCUCGUGUUGGAGGAUUGGGGCAGGCAGAAAAUGGUGGCAUUUGGAGCUUCCAAUAGAGGGCCUGCACUUUGCACGUCCAGGGGAGUUGUACUCUGAUCAGAUUAGGAGGAAAUGUAAAGGCACCUGGUAACAACGCUGUUUGUUAUAGGGCAGAAAUCAGUGCAAAUCAGGCUGGCCCUGGCUCUCUGCCAAAGGAUUUUAUUUCCUGAAUCACGAAAACCAUUUCCCCUUGAGACUGUGCCAUGGCCCCAACCUCCAGCACAGAACUGCAGCGAGGCUCCAAGGCCACUGCCCUUUGGGCCGCACUUGUGGUGCUAACUUUGUUCCACUUAGGGGCUUCCUGAGCCUUGCUGCAGAACACCCCUAAUUGCACUGGGCUAUCUUUCCCUGGACCACAGCAGUCUGAGGUGCUGCUGCUUCAGCGAAUGUCCAGUGCCUGGCUGAUGGGGCCUGGAGUCAUGUCCCAGGGGGGCUGGCUGCACAUGUGUGGUGGAAGGACCCACAGCCAUCCAGAGUGGAGGCUGGAUGCUUGGGGACACUGGGAGAAGACAGGGUGCAGCAGACCCACAGUGGGUGGUGGAUCCUUUUGGGAUUUCUGUCCCACGGUCUCAGGAGCACGCACCGUUCGAUUCCUUGGCUCGCUGCAUCCUUGGGUGGGUAAUCCGAGUCCUGCAGGGCUGGUAGCUGCAGCCACGAAGCCAGGGUUGCUCUGUUUUUUCUCAACAGUUAGCAUGUCCCAGCUCUUCUUCAAUGUCAAAAUGUUUUCCCGUGAACACCAGGGCUAGCAUUUCCCCGCCCUAUCAGCCCUAGCAACCAGAAGCCCAGUUUCCAGGAAAGCAGCCACUUGAUCCAACCUGGUGGAACCCACUCCCCAGCUCAGCAACUCACAUGGCAUUUACGCCCCAGUGCUCCACAGCAGAGUGUUUUUUUAGCUGCGGCCACAUGACAUCAUUUCCAACUGGCCAGCCUUCCUCCUGCUCCCCCACACAGCAGCCCUCCGCCCCCAGCCUUUCUCCUCUGCACAGUCCAGGGUGGUAGUUUGUGGAGGGGUGGGAAUGCGUUGGGCUUUUUUUGAGGGGCUAAUUCCCUUUGUUUCUCGAAAUAUCCCAGCCCUGGCUGCUCUCAUCCCUUCCCUGGGUAGAGAGAGCGUGGCUGGGGCUCCAGGAAUGCACGACUGCUCGCUGAGACAGGGCUCUCGCUGAGCCUGGGGGGCCGAGAUGGGUGGCCCUGAGGAAGACCCUUCCCUUCAGUGGGGCGCCUCCCUCUCUGGUGUGAAAUGGAAAUGCUGUUUCUCUGAACCCUGCAUCCUGUGAGAUGCUUGAAAAAAAUAACAGUGAUGCUGACAUGUGAUUGUUAGGUGCCUCCCACGCCUGGCAAUUGUCUUUGAGUACAUUUGGUGGUACUUUGGUGAGCCACGAAAAAGCAAGCCUGUGUCUUGUGAUAUGAAGAGGUUCUUUUCCUAACCAUAUAUGUCUCCCCCAGAGAACCAAUAAAUAAUGUGGUCCCUCUGGCAGGGCUGUCUUUCCACAGCUGCCCCAGGAGCCCUCUGGCCCCCGCUCGCUGCUUCUCCUGUUUCAAUUUCCAUGUCCUCUCCGUUUUGUAACUCAAGGAGCUCCUCGGGCUCAGGAACAGCUGACAACCUGGCCAGCUCCCAGCCAUGGCAUCUGGGGAAGGGGCGAUGGGCACGGACUUGCAGGCAUGCUUUAGGGCACCCUGUCCCAGGCUGCUGUGAAUCACUGGAAGGUGAGCAAGGAUGUGUGCUGGGGCAUAGGGACCUCCGGUGCCAAACCCAGAUCUGGCAAGGCUGUGCAAGUGAGUAAGGAGAGACGGGGAGAUGAGGAAGAGCUUUUCUCAUGGGAGAAUCCCACAGACAGUCCUCUCAUCACAUCCUCAUCUUCAGCCUCCGUCCCCCCACCAGAAAUUCAGGGGGCACGCGUAGCUAGACUCUGCUCAUGUUGCUGAAUUAGAGAGCACAAAAGACCUUUGUAAACCCAUCACACUCCAGCCUAUUUUACAGAUGAAGAAAGUAAAGCCCAGAGGAGAAAUAACUUGUCCCAAGUCAGGUAUGGCUGGGGCUUAAACCCAGCUUCCCCUCAGAGCCCUGCUCACCAGAGAGCUCAGGGGCUGCCCGCUCUGCCCGCCCAGCCCCCCACCCUGUGCGUUUCCAUCCUGCCCCCAGGGAGGUGAGUGCACCCUGGGACAGUGGUAAGGGGGAGCUGGUGGAUGAAAGGCAACGAAACCCAUGGAGUUCAUUCCUCUAGCCCGGCCCCUCUACCCGGCUCUGCUGACCCCUCCUGCUGCACUCCCCUGACCCCUUCCCAAAGUGAUGGCUUUUCCUUCUGGGUCAAACUAAAUGCUGCGCCCUCCUAGCCCCGGGGGAGGGACAGGCUGAGUUCCAGGUUAGGGUGACUGGGAAGAACACUGCGCUGUCGCUGCCUCCAGCUGUUCUUUUAUUACCAAGCGCCUGGGAGAAGGGAGCCAAAAGGGCCCUCAGAAGCAAAGCAUGUCAUUUGGGGAGUGGCUGGCGAUGCCGGUGUUGAUGGCUGAGCGUCACAGCCGCAGCCAAAAAGCCCCUGGACUCUGAUUCCUCCCGUCGCUAAGAGCAGGAGUGGUAAUCUUGGAGAACGCCCUAAAGGUGACCGCAGGGCCCGAGCUGCUCCAGCUACGGGCUUUCAGGGCAUCUUCCCUCAGAGUUCUGGAACGCCAUGCACUUGUUUAUCUGCUCGGAGAGCGGCGUGCCCGCCCCCUCUGCCUACCUCUGCCUCUCCAUGGGCUCAGCAUGCCACUGGCAUUUAAUAAAUGUUAAAAAAUAGCAACGUCUGAACCACUGACCUUCGCAUAAAGUCCUUUGAGACCACUGCCAGAGCAUUUCCUCCUUUGUGGGGCCAGACAACCCCAAGGCCCAGAAGGAGAAAAGAGAAACACACCCUCAGCACGGGGGCCAGGGACACCGUGGGUCCAGGUCGCAAUAAUGGAAUGGGGCCAGAUGCUUUCACAGAGAUGCCUGGGCCGUGUGCCCUCUGCCAACCAAGGGCAGUGGCUUUGCGUCCCCUCCCUGCAUCCCUCCAGAUGUGUCUGUGCUGAUGAUCCAGAGUUUCAGACCCAAGCACCGGGCUGAGGUGGGGCACUUCCAACACCCUCUCUUCAUCACCUGCCCCUCCCUCGCAAAGUCCCUUCCACCAUCGUUCGGCUGAGACUUCCUUAUCUGGGGGUGAAGGAUGAGUGGGACUGGGGUUUUCCAGCCAGUCUGAGUCUUGGGUUUCAUCCUCUUCCUUUUAAAAAGUAUUAUGCAGGCUUUUCUUUACCCACAGGCCUGGUCAGCGGAGUCCUGGCAAGUCUUUUAUAGCCAGCUCUCUCCCUUCCUCUUUUUCUUCUUCCCUAAAGACUAUGGAGAGAUGAAUAUUGCAGAGGGGAGGGGACCUGAGGGCCUGGAACUGGAAGACAAGCUUUAUGUAAUUGAUUUAACCUCCCCAUUGUACCGAUUUGAUAGGUGAGCAGUUGAGAUUUGGAGAGAGUAAGUAAGGAGCCCAGGGUGGCAGCCGGCAGGACCAGGCACAUCCCAGGCCGAUCGCGUGGGACCCAGAGUGCUGUCCAGGGCUGGAUGCUGACCCCUCUGGGGCUCACGGCAGGACAGGCACUGCUCCAGAUGCUCGAUGCGCUUGACCCCUUUUCAUCUCAGUGACAGCCUUGUGAGAAGGUAGCCAUUGCUCUCCCCAUUUUACGGAUGCAGAAACUGAGGCUCAGAGAGUUAAGUACCUUCCUAAAAUUGUCACUUUGGUUUCUGAGCCUUUGUGACAGCAGCAACAGAUAUUUUCUGGGGAUCCUGGGCAUCAUGGAUGACUGGACUGUUGGCCUGACCAGCCAUCCCUGUUGCCCAGGACUUGCCCAGUCUUAGCAAUGAAAUUUCCACAUCCUGGGAAACCCCUUAAUCUGGGGCAAACUGGGUGUGUCGGUCGCCCAUUAAAUGUUCCUCCGUCUCUUCCUCUGCCUUUCCCACAGUGCUUCAGAUCUUCAGAGCAACCCACCGUUAACUUCAGCCUUUUCCCUGGGAAAGACAGAGGGGGCUCUGGAGGAGGGCAGGUCCUAAGUCACGGGGUUAUUUGAGGAUUCCAGGGAGAAAAGUUCUCAGCACAGCGCUGGGAAGGCAAUGGAUGCCCACAAAUGGCCACUCUUGUUCUUAGCCGGAGGACAAGAAGAAUGGACAGGGAGAUGGGGAGUGACAGCAGAAUUGGGGGAUCUGGUGCAGUGGAAGGGAGCCCCUGAGGGGACACCUCCGUCUGCUGAGUCCCUACGCAGGGCCAGGCACUUCCAUCCAUCACCCGAGUCCUUGAGGCUGCGACUAGGUCUGGGAGACAGUCUGCAGGGCGUGGGUCCAGGUGAGGAGACCCAGGCUUAAGAAGGCCAGUGCUUGCCCCAGCGAGGAUGUGGGGAGCGAGGACUUGAAUCCACUCCAUCGGUCUUCGAAGCCUUGCUCUUAAUUAUGAGACAGGGCUGCCUCUUAGGGGAAAAGGGAUGGGGAAGAAGGCGCUCGAAAGGGACCUGGAAAGAAUGCAAGGAGGUGGAAGGCAGGAAGAAGCAGAGAAAACGGAAUCUCUAUGGGAGCUGGGAGUGUGAAGAGGUUUCCGGCCCAGUUCGUGAGAGUGGUCUCGGUGCGCCGAGUGCGCUCCUGUGGGCCAGGCCUUCUCUGUGUUUUCCUGUGUAUUAACCCAUUCAAGUCUCCCAAAUCCCAUGAGGUGAGUAUCAGCAGCUGCAGCAGCAUCUGCGUUUUACAGAUGAGGAGAGUGGGGCCCAGAGGGGUAAAGAAACUUGCCCAAGGUCACACAGCUAGUAGUGAUGUAGCUAGGAUUCAAACUUGUCUGAUGGUUAAGGAUCAGAGGAGUUUUUCCUUGUCCUUUUCUAAAACAGUUAUGCAGCCUUUACUCGCAAGCUUGGCUUGGUGGCGUUGAGGUAGUCUUCUCUUUCAGUCUGCUUCUCCCCUUCCUCUUUUACGUUCCUCCCUAAAGGCUGGGAAAAGACUAUUUUAGCCCCUCCACCUCUUUCUUGGCUCAGGCCUGAUCAGGAGUAGGACCGGUGCCUGUGUGUUGGGGGCCGGGGGGUUGGUGAUUGGUAAUCUCAGGUGCGUGUGUGGGACUGUGUGUGUGUGUGUUUGUGUGUUGAGAUCAAAGUUGCUCCAGGAAAAUGUGUACACCCUGGAGCUUGAAGAUUACCUGGGCCAGCCCCCUCUCAGCUCAUCUCUAAACCUUCAUGGCGAAUGUGCUUUCAGGAGCCUGGGGAAAGAGCCAGACCCUGAGAUCACCUGCUGGCUUUGUCCCAGCUCGCUGCUCAGGAAGCAGGCUUUGUGCAUCCCUUGCACCUGUGUCUGAUGGGAAAUUGGAGGCGGGAGGAGCCGAUCAGGAAAGAACCUGCGCUGGGUGUGGGUUCCGCUGCCCAGGCGAGCUCCACCCCUGCCCCACCCCUCCCGACAAAAGGCAGCUGUGAAUCACCAGCUCCCGCACCACCUCACCUGACCCACCCUCUUCCCAGCACCACCCCUGCCAUCACCUCCUCACCUGGGCACAUUACUCACCUGUCUCUGUCUGUUCCCCUCGCUGAGUCUGCAGGGGGCUUGUUCUGCGACCAGCCCUGCUGUGAACAGCAUAAUUGCGUAUGGCCCACACACCAAUAGGUUGUAAUUGUUGAACAAUAAAAGUGCAAUACCAGCCACAGUUGAUGGUCCAACUCAUACAGAGAUACAGAAUCAACUUCUGUAUAGUCGGGAGUCUGUUUCAGGUAGCUUUCACACCGGAAGUUCUCUUUCUGCUAACAAGUUAGGGAAUUAGAUCUCUACCAGAGCUACAGAGAGAAGCCAUUUCUCGUUAGAAAGCAUUUUGCAGAGCAGCCAGUAGAGGAGCGUGAAGCGCCUUCAACUACAACGUUGCAUGGAUGUCCGUGUGAAUUAUGGUCCACAGUGGUUGGAGUAACACAACACAGAAAUCAGUCUUUACAGCUCAUAGUAAAUACACAAUAGAAUGGUAUUGAAUAAAUGAAUAAAAAUUCUAUUACAAUGUCUGAAGAUGAAGAGUGAGAAACUGAGAAUUCUCUGUAUUGGAAUAUCAAUACUGAUACAAAAAUGCAAUCCAGCCUGGCUGGAAAGAUGGAGCAGUUUGAGAUACAGAAAUACAUCUUGAAACCAGGGUGGUGAACAAAAAGAAUCAGCAACUGAGAUACAUCCCUUUGCAGUAGCUAGAUAAAGGCGGGGUUGCUGUGUAUUGCUGCACAGGUUGUAUACUGCACAACUCCAGCAGAUAUUCUUUACAGCGACUGCAAUAUGCAGAGUGUUUUGUAAAGUCAUGGCACUGGAUAAGGGUUUUCCCAACCCCUUAGUGAGGGAUAUGUGGAAAGUUACUAUCAGAACAAAACAGUGCAUGUUAUUUAGACUUUGUCUAUGCAUCCAUUUGUGCCUACCUUAACUGUUUAGCAAAUUGCAAACAUAAUUCAUUCCUGUGGAUUUAGUCAUUUAAAAAUUUUUUUAAUAUAUCAUGAAAUAAUUAUAGAUUUACAGGAAGUUGCAAAACAAUGGACGAGGAGGUCCCACAUACACUUCAUCCAGUUUUGCCCAAUAGUAACAACUUGCAGAGCUAGAUUUAAAAUCUAAACCAGAAGGUUGACAUUGGUGCAACCCACAGAGCAUAUUCAGAUCUCACCAGUUUUCCAGGCAGGUGUUUGUCUAUAUACUUCUGUGCAGUCCUAUCCCCUUAAACUGGCGGUAGAUGCUUGUAACCACCUCCACAGUUCAGAUACAGAACCGUUCCGUCCUAAGGAUGUCUCCCACCCCACGACACCCACCUCCAUCCCUAAGCCCUGGGAACCACUCAUCUGUUCUCUGGCUCCAUAAUUAUGUUAGCUUGAGAAUGGCACCUAAAUGGGAGUUCAAUCUUUUUUUUUCUGUCAAUCAUUUUUAAACUAAUUCUUUCACUGCAAAGUUCUGCCUUAAGGAUUUCUACACAAGCAUGUGUAAAGGAGAAGUACUCGAACUAGGGGGACCCAACAGAGAGCAAAGUCAAGAAUCUGGGGCCUGGAGGGGCCGGCAGGCAGGGAAACCAGGGAGCAUGUCUAUUUAGUGGGCACCGACUGUGUGCCAGGCACGGUUCAAAGACUGCACGCUGCAUCCAGAAAGGUGCUCGAGAGGCUGCCUCCUCUUCAGAGCUCUCUCCCACCCUCACCCGACACAGGCUCUUUCUGUCCUUUGCAGAAGCAUUUCCCAUUGGGUCACCAUCUCUUCCAGAGCAGGAGUAGCUCUUGCUACUCAGGGAGCUAGACAUGAACUAUGGGGCCUUUGGCCACCCCGCUGUUCCCCUUUGAUUUUCCCUUCCCUUGGGUGCUGAGCAUGCUCUGGCUGCCCAGGUGGUUGCAUGCCAUUCCUCUGCUUGUGGCCCUUGGAUUGCCCUUGCUGCCACCUCCCAGCCACUGGGACCAAAUGCUGUCUGGGAGCUGAAUGCAGGGAGCCUUCACCUCUGGCAUCGCCUUCUAUAGCCGCUAUGGCUGCCUCAGGUUCUCACCUCUGAAGACCUGGAGAGAAACACACACAACCAUUAUUGGCACCCUCAGCAUUCUCAGGAAUUAAAGAUUAAUGGAGAGGAACUCAUUGUUCUAAAUCCCCUGCUGGGUAUGAGAUUUAGGAAAUUCCCUUCUUGAGGUUAUUAAGUCUCAGUGGCCUGGUGGGGCUAGGUCUCCGGUGACACAACAUAAUUGGCCUAUUAUCUGGGAACUUUGGGCUGAAUUGGCACAAACAGACAUUGAGGGACUUUAGACCCAGGAAUGGAUUAUAGGGCCUGGUGAGUUCUUAUGUUGGGAGAUCUUUGAAAACAGAAGUGAACCUGAUGGGUCUGAGCAGUUAGGCGCGUCUUGCCUGAAGUCAAGGCAGAAGCUAAAUAUCGCCUUAGAGCUCUCGUUGCACUUUGAUUUUGAGAAAUCGCCACCUCUAUUUGUCAAUGGACCUAUGGCCUCAUGCAGAGAAGACACAAUCUUGGUGUUUCAGCUUUGCCGAAACACCAGUGAAUACACUAUAGCUAAUCUAUAGGCAGAAUCCUCCAGUAUGAUAUUCCAACGGUAUACUAGAUCGGAUGCUUACAACCGUUUUGAAAUUGGGAUACCUGUCAUUGUUUGAUCAGCAUCGUGGCCAAGUACCUCAGGUUGCAUAACAUGUCUACUUCACUUAUUGAUUGUGUUGGGAAGAUUUUGUUAGACCACUUAAGAAAGUGGGAGGCCUCUUGAAAAUCACAACAGGAGACUGUCUACAUUUAACCAUUCUUUCUAGGAUUAUCUUUUAGAAAGAUAAUGUGGCCCUUGGAUUCUUUCUAGGUUAGAACCUGAGAUCAUAAAACCAGAAGUCAGAAAGACUGAUGUUUGAGUUCAUGGGAGCUCAUAUAAGGAGAGAAACAAGUCAUUGGGUCAUUGUCACUGGGCACAUAAAAACUGUGUCAUUUCAUUCACCCCAAAUAUGGGCAGUUUGGUGACUUUAGAAAUUUACUGGUGACUCAUUCAACCUUUGCUCUUCAACCCUUUGCCUUGGAAACCCCCUCUUUCUUGGGCCCCUCCUUGUUAAUAUAGCCUAAAGUUCUUACGAGUCCUUCAAGGGAAGAAAUGGAUAGAUUCCCUUUAUGUGGAUUCCAGAUCAAAGCAAACAACUCGAAAACGAGAUCUGAAACCCGCUGACCCUAAAUGAAGCACUGGGAAUAUUCUGUUUACAAAUGAGAGCCCGUGAUGCCCUGGAGAUGUGAUUUUUCCAUAAAGGGAAGUCCUCAGAUUUAUUGCACAGACUUACUGUCCACCCUUUUCUCUUUGUAGCAAGUAUCCUUCUGUGAGAGGCACAUUAAAGACCCCCGCUCUCCUAUCUACAAUCCUAAAAUCCAGAAAGCUACAAAAACCAAAAGUGUUUUGUAUACCUGGUGCCAUUUACCAGCAAAAUCUGAUCUGAACUGACUUGAAAUUAUUUAUAUGUUUAAUUUAUCUCACCUACUAUGAAUCUUCAUGUUUCACUGCAGAAAACAUUAUGUUUGAACAUGGGGCAGUGUCCCAGGUCCCUGUGAGUGAUGUUAACUCUAUGUGGUAUAUGAGCCACAUUAUCUUUCUAAAAGUCUGAAAAAUUCUGAAUUCCGUAACACAGCUGCCCCAAGGGUUUUGAAUACGGGAUUGUGGACCUGGAGCACAGCGCUUUUUUUUUUUUCCCGUACUACACAAAUGUCAGAUGCCUUUCUUGAUAGACGAUGGGACCCAACCAGAUGGCCCAGCUUGUUAGGCCUUUAGUCCCCUGUCACUGACAAAGUCUAAGGCCACAUGAUCCCAUGUUAAACCCCAGACUCCAACGCUUCCUCUGCCCUGCCUGGCAUCCAAGCGCUGGUAGCUCAGCCUUUUCGGCUGGCUGGGCCCAGAGGUGACCACAGCACCGUGGGCCUGCACUUCCUGGAUUCCUUUUCCUACCCCUCAUGUGGUUUCUCCAUGUGGGAGAGGGAGAGUGGGUGGCCAGUGCUUGGCUCAUUGCUCCCAAGGCUUCCAGAGAGGUGUGUAAGACCUUAUGAUAAAUCCACUGAGUCAUUCACCCAUUCAUUAGUCAAUGUAUUCCUUCACUCAGUUAACGCUUCUUGUGCGCCUUUCGUGAUUUAGGUAUGCUUUAUUGAGAUCCUCAUGCAAAGAGAGCUGGGGAAGCUUGGACUCAGGAUUUUCUCAGACAAUGUUUCACAGAAUCCAAGAGAUGUUAGUGGAUUUUCCAUCUUCCAAUCUUUCCAAAAAAGAUUUCCAUGAUCAAAUAAGUCUAGAAAAUAAUGAGUUAAACAGGUUUCUUCGCUACAGCACUUUUCUGAGUCCUUGAUAAAGUAACGUGCGUGGCAAACUUCCAAAAGGGGGGGUUAACAUUGACCAGGGAGCACUUGCCCCUGGACCUCCAGGUCCCAAAUGGUUUCUGUAUCCCAUGGAGGCUGUAGGAGGAAUGAUGUGGAAGGUGACAGCUGAAUGGCUCCACAAAGCAAUAGGAAAAUGUCUAUCACGCUGUCUGUGUUUGCAGGGGCUGUAGGCUACUGUCACCUCUUCCAAGUACUCUGAAACAAUACAAACGUGCAGGUGGCCACCUGGGGCUAGUGGAGCAAAGAGAAUGCUCUUCUGGGGUCAUCCAACCUUGAAAAGUGAUAGCCCUUUCAGACCAAUUUCCAACUGAAUCUCUUUGAAUUUCUUUUACUCCUUGUGUAGCUUGCCAUCCACGGUGUUGUGCUGGGCCCAGCAGAGGACAUUAUUGCCCUUUGACCUGUUAGCAUGUUAAGAACCAAGAUUUCUCAUGAGCCAAGAAGACAGGGAAGACUGGAGGAGUCCCAUUUUCAUGACUGGUCUCACAGUUGAGAAACGUCUAUUGGGGCUUGGACCAAUAAAUGUGGAAGGAGGAAGAGAGAAGAAUUUGUCUGCCUGGUCAUAUCUCCCAUUGGUCAAAGUGGGCUGCACAGAGCAUCAGGACCCCCACGCUUCCAAGUGGCUCUGUCUGGCGUCGCCCACAAAGGAAAGCCAGAUCCCCAAACAGCAGCAGAAGCAUCUGCAGCCUGAACCAGGGCACAUGGAGCCAGCGCAGCAACAGGGGAGCCCUGGGGCAGGAGGUGAGAGGCAUAUGGUGUGAGGCAUGAAGCAACAUGCUGUCGAGUUGUGCCUGCAAGCCACGUGAGGAACCGGGAACAUCUGCCACGAUGGACCCAGCCCAGCCAAGCAGGUUCAUCAUAACCCAGCAAGACUACGAAGAGCAGCUCCUCCCCACCUGGCGGCAUCCUGAACUGAAACCAGCCAGGCGCUUCCCCAGACCGGUGAGAACUGACCCCACCCAGGUUCCGCAGGCAGCCCAGCCUCAUGCUUCAUCGUGUGCAUCUUCCUCGUGCUCCAAGAAGGAGCCUGGCUCCGCUGUGUGUCUCAGCACCGUGAGACAAGGCCUUGGCCUUGAUGCUCUCACAACAGAAGCAUCCGCUCAUCCCCCAGACACGUCAUGGGGUGUGUCCAGCCCCAGGAGAGGAUUCUGCACUUGCUGGGUUUUCCUGCCAGAGGCGUGGUGGGAAUCGGAACAAGUUCAUGGCUGAGUAUUAAAAGGGUAUCCUGAGAGCACAGAAAAUGAAGACAGCUCUGUCACCAGCUUGUGGGUGACCCUGAGGAACAUGUGCAGGCUUCCGGUGUGGCUCCCUUAUUUAUUCCGGGAGAUGGCAGGUGGCAUGUUCCCAGCAGACAGGUGCUGGUGUCAGGAGCCCAGCACCUGUGUGCAUUAGACAGCAACGUUGGG